GACGAACGCUGGCGGCGUGCCUAAUACAUGCAAGUCGAACGCUUCUUUCCUCCCGAGUGCUUGCACUCAAUUGGAAAGAGGAGUGGCGGACGGGUGAUUAACACGUCGGUAACCUACCCAUCAGAGGGGGAUAACACUUGGAAACAGGUGCUAAUACCGCAUAACAGUUUAUGCCGCAUGGCAUAAGAGUGAAAGGCGCUUUCGGGUGUCGCUGAUGGCUGGACCCGCGGUGCAUUAGCUAGUUGGUGGGGUAACGGCUCACCAAGGCCACGAUGCAUAGACGACCGGUGUGGGGGAUAGGCCACACUGGGACUGAGACACGGCCCAGACUCCUACGGGAGGCAGCAGUAGGGAAUCGUCGGCAAUGGACGAAAGUAUGACCGAGCGACGCCGAGUGAGUGAAGAAGGUUUUCGGAUCGUAAAACUCUGUUGUUAGAGAAGAACAAGGACGUUAGUAACUGAACGUCCCCUGACGGUAUCUAACCAGAAAGCCACGGCUAACUACGUG
rnacentral:rRNA from 1 species